GACGAACGCUGGCGGCGUGCCUAAUACAUGCAAGUUGAGCGCUGAAGGUUGGUACUUGUACCAACUGGAUGAGCAGCGAACGGGUGAGUAACGCGUGGGGAAUCUGCCUUUGAGCGGGGGACAACAUUUGGAAACGAAUGCUAAUACCGCAUAAAAACUUUAAACACAAGUUGUAAGUUUGAAAGAUGCAAUUGCAUCACUCAAAGAUGAUCCCGCGUUGUAUUAGCUAGUUGGUGAGGUAAAGGCUCACCAAGGCGAUGAUACAUAGCCGACCUGAGAGGGUGAUCGGCCACAUUGGGACUGAGACACGGCCCAAACUCCUACGGGAGGCAGCAGUAGGGAAUCUUCGGCAAUGGACGAGAGUCUGAGCGAGCAACGCCGCGUGAGUGAAGAAGGUUUUCGGAUCGUAAAACUCGGUUGGUAGAGAAGAACGUUGGUGAGAGUGGAAAGAUCAUCAAGUGACGGUAACUACCCAGAAAGGGACGGCUAACUACGUG
rnacentral:rRNA from 1 species